UUAUUUUGUGGAGGCGUUGACUCAGAACGGGAUAGUUGGUCGCUUUCCCAAGAAUUUGGGAAGUGUUCUGAUGAGCCAGUAGCGAAACCGACCACAAAAAGG
rnacentral:ncRNA from 2 species